UGAGGAAUAUUGGUCAAUGGGCGCAAGCCUGAACCAGCCAUCCCGCGUGAAGGAAGAAGGCGCUAUGCGUUGUAAACUUCUUUUUCAGGGGAAGAAAAUUUUCUACGUGUAGAGAAUUGACGGUACCCUGUGAAUAAGCAUCGGCUAACUCCGUG
rnacentral:rRNA from 1 species